UCCUACGGGAGGCAGCAGUGGGGAAUAUUGGACAAUGGGCGAAAGCCUGAUCCAGCAAUGCCGCGUGGGUGAAGACGGCCUGCGGGUUGUAAAGCCCUUUAGGCGGGGAGGAACGACGGGGCGUGAACAACGUUUCGGAGUGACGUUACCCGCGGAAUAAGCACCGGCUAACUUCGUGCCAGCAGCCGCGGUAAUACGAAGGGUGCAAGCGUUACUCGGAAUUACUGGGCGUAAAGCGUGCGUAGGUGGUUUGUUAAGUCUGAUGUGAAAGCCCUGGGCUCAACCUGGGAAUGGCAUUGGAAACUGGCAGGCUAGAGUGCGGUAGAGGAUGGCGGAAUUCCCGGUGUAGCAGUGAAAUGCGUAGAGAUCGGGAGGAACAUCUGUGGCGAAGGCGGCCAUCUGGACCAUGACUGACGCUGAGGCACGAAAGCGUGGGGAGCAAACAGGAUUAGAUACCCUGGUAGUCCACGCCCUAAACGAUGCGGACUGGAUGUUGGGCUCAACUCGGAGCUCAGUGUCGAAGCUAACGCGUUAAGUUCGCCGCCUGGGGAGUACGGUCGCAAGACUGAAACUCAAAGGAAUUGACGG
rnacentral:rRNA from 1 species